rnacentral:tRNA from 2 species
GCGCCGCUAGCUCAAUUGGCAGAGCAACUGACUCUUAAUCAGUAGGUUCGGGGUUCGAUUCCCUGGCGGCGUACCA